rnacentral:tRNA from 1 species
GGAUGGGUGGCUGAGUGGUCGAAAGCACCGUCUUGGAAAGGCGGCGGGCGCGCAAGCGUCCCGCGGGUUCGAAUCCCGCCCCAUCCGCCA